rnacentral:rRNA from 1 species
CCAGCAGCCGCGGUAAUUCCAGCUCCAAUAGCGUAUAUUAAAGUUGUUGCAGUUAAAAAGCUCGUAGUUGGAUUUGUGGCAGUCGCAUGCAUCCUGGCAUUCGUGCCGGUGUUUGCUAGCGUCGCCAUCCUUGGGUGGAACCUGUGUGGCAUUAGGUUGUCGUGCAGGGGAUGCCCAUCGUUUACUGUGAAAAAAUUAGAGUGUUCAAAGCAGGCUUAUGCCGUUGAAUAUAUUAGCAUGGAAUAAUAAGAUAGGACCUUGGUACUAUUUUGUUGGUUUGCGCACCAAGGUAAUGAUUAAUAGGGACAGUUGGGGGUAUUCGUAUUCCAUUGUCAGAGGUGAAAUUCUUGGAUUUUUGGAAGACGAACUACUGCGAAAGCAUUUACCAAGGAUGUUUUCAUUAAUCAAGAACGAAAG